rnacentral:rRNA from 1 species
GGUAGAUCGAGUGGCGGACGGGUGAGUAACGCGUGGGGAACCUGCCUCAUACAGGGGGAUAACAGUUGGAAACGACUGUUAAUACCGCAUAAGACCACAGAGUCGCAUGACUCAGGGGUAAAAACUCCGGUGGUAUGAGAUGGACCCGCGUUCGAUUAGCCAGUUGGCGGGGUAACGGCCCACCAAAGCGACGAUCGAUAGCCGAUUUGAGAGAAUGACCGGCCACAUUGGGACUGAGACACGGCCCAAACUCCUACGGGAGGCAGCAGUGGGGAAUAUUGCACAAUGGGGGGAACCCUGAUGCAGCGACGCCGCGUGAGUGAAGAAGUAUUUCGGUAUGUAAAGCUCUAUCAGCAGGGAAGAAGAUGACGGUACCUGAGUAAGAAGCCCCGGCUAACUACGUGCCAGCAGCCGCGGUAAUACGUAGGGGGCAAGCGUUAUCCGGAUUUACUGGGUGUAAAGGGAGCGCAGACGGCUAUGCAAGUCUGAAGUGAAAGCCCGGGGCUCAACCCCGGGAUUGCUUUGGAAACUGUGUAGCUAGAGUGUCGGAGAGGUAAGCAGAAUUCCCAGUGUAGCGGUGAAAUGCGUAGAUAUUGGGAAGAAUACCGGUGGCGAAGGCGGCUUACUGGACGAUAACUGACGUUCAGG